rnacentral:misc_RNA from 1 species
AUUGUUUCGAACCCACGCUUUUUUAAGUAAAGGCGUGCGGGAUCGGUAGUGAGGGUUGCCAUUCACCGUGGCUCGCUCGAAAUGCAUUAGCGCAUCCAUUGAAUUGAGGCAAAGACGGACGAAGGCUCGCCUUUCGCUCUCUCUUCCUUGCCGGGUUUUGAUACUAUCAGGGCUUCGGAGGCGGAGAGAGGGCAUGAGCUGGACGCGACGACUUUGUCGGUUGGAAGUGCUUCUGAACCCCGCCUUUGGCAUUUAUUUGCCAAAGGAAUUAAUUCA